rnacentral:rRNA from 1 species
UGCCUGUCCGAGCGUCAUUUCCUCCCUCACGC